UGUGUGUGUGUGUGUGUGUGUGUGUAUGUAUAUAUAUAUAUAUAUAUAUAUACACACACACAUAUACACACACACA